UCGAGAAUUUUUCACAAUGGGGGAAACCCUGAUGGAGCGACGCCGCGUGGAGGAUGAAGGUCUUCGGAUUGUAAACUCCUGUCAUGCGGGAACAAGAAAGUGAUAGUACCGCAAGAGGAAGAGACGGCUAACUCUGUGCCAGCAGCCGCGGUAAUACAGAGGUCUCAAGCGUUGUUCGGAUUCAUUGGGCGUAAAGGGUGCGCAGGCGGCGUGGUAAGUUGAGUGUGAAAUCCCGGGGCUUAACCUCGGAACUGCACUCAAUACUGCCAUGCUAGAGGAAUGUAGAGGAGAGUGGAAUUCACGGUGUAGCAGUGAAAUGCGUAGAUAUCGUGAGGAAGACCAGUUGCGAAGGCGACUCUCUGGGCAUUUCCUGACGCUCAGGCACGAAGGCCAGGGGAGCAAACGGG
rnacentral:rRNA from 1 species